GAAAUGGCCACCAAGACGGACGCAUCAGCAAUCCCGUGAGAUGAGAGAGAUGAGACGUCUAUGAUGUCUUAGAAGCAACAUCUGAAUCACUCAGAAGGCCAGUGUCCGGUUGUAAAGAUCACACACAGAAGACACAUUAGAAGAGUCCCUUCCUCAUCGGCAUGGGGUGUGUCCUGUGUGAGCUCCCUGAAUGUUGAUUGGAAUGGGAAGUCCUACUUGUAUUCCCUCCUGCCUGCUCCAUUCCUUUUGAGUGACAUGUCUGGGGUCAGGGCUGAGAGCAUGGGGGAGGAUGCAGACCUCAGAGUGGGAGAGUCACCCCAAGGCUCAACUAACACCAGAACCUCGUCCUUGGUGUCUCAGUGGGCAAGGCUGGGCUUGUCAUCUUGCCCAGCCUCUGGUGGAGGCAGCAUAGACUUGGUGACAGCUUCCUCGGAAGAGAUGAAUGAAGCAAUUGUGUACUUGGUGCAGAGAAGAUUCCAGAUGGAGGAGGUGUUUUCAAUGGCAAUAACCCGGAGAUGGAAUAUUUCAAUGAGUCAACAAACAGAGAUAUUGGCA
rnacentral:lncRNA from 1 species